CUCACUCACUCACUCUCGAGAAGGGACUGGCUGCUGGGGAGUGUACCAAAGGUGAAGCAGGGCUGGAGAAGGCCAGACUGGAAAAGCUGCAGGCCUGGCAGAUGGCCUAAGAUAGGUACUAGGGUUGCAGGGGGCAGUCCACAGGUAGGCAGAGGCAGCAGGUCCAAACCUCCCCCCAGUGAAUGGCUAGAUGGUGACUUGGUAGUAGCCAUAUACUGAGGUGAGGUGGGGAUAGUGGGUGGGGGUUCCUGGGCAGGGGAGACCCCAGAGACUGUGGGGGUACUGCCAGGGGGCACACCCUGGGUAAAAGGGGCACCAGGGUCUGGGAGGGACACGGGGAGCCAGCGGCAAGCGGCCUGCAGAGGGUGCUCUGGAGGCUGGAAGAGCUAAUUCCCUGAGAGAUCAGCAGGAGGUGCCGCAGGGGUGAGUCCUGCACUGCGACAGUUGAAUUCACUGCUUAUGAAUGAUGCCAGAUUGCUGGCAAUGCUGAAGACCAAAGUGUAUCCAGUGGUAUAACACAAGCAGAGCUGUAUAAAAUACUCUCCACUUCCCACUGAAUCCUGUGAGGAACCAUUGGAAAGAUCUGGCAGGACACCUUCUAAAGAUGAGAGAGUAGUAGAAUCUCCAUGCCAAAUCAGACCUUGGGCUCUCUAUUUAUACUCCAGCAGGAUGUCAAUUAAUGCCAAAUGUGAUAGUUUUCUCUGUUACAUGAACUAGAAACUGGACUUAGACAACCAAUUCAUCUCACAUAGGCCCCUGUCAGCUAUCAGGCUGUAAUUGCUUUUAGUCUCUACUGACUUGGGCCAGAUUUGAACCAGCCACCUAGCUUGAAAGGCUCUGUGUCCACCAUCAAUCACAAAGAACAUCCGGUCCCCCCUGCAACUUUGUUUUUCUAUCUAAUUUUUUUUUAAGACAGAACAUUCUACCUAAAGUGGAAUGCUCCACCAGGACCAAAAAAAGCUAAUUUCCUUGUUAAUCCCCCACAUUUCUGAGUGGCACAAAAACCUUAACAAACAAGUGACUUAUUUUCCUCCUUCCACUCAUGUUCUCACCUCAUUCAGUGCGCCACUGACUAAAACUGCCUUCAUUGACAAAAAGGUGCAUUUUUGAAGUGAAAUAACUAACUCGAGUUACCAAUCUCACUGUAAAAUCCUAGUGGAGACAAGGUCCAGGUAGUUUUUACCUCACUAUAGCUAGUCAAGGUGAACUCCCAGGUGAGGUUAUAGUGUUGACCUCAACAAGCAUUGGCAGUAAAGACCUAGCCUAACAGUGCUUCAAGACUGCUGGGAAACUAAUGAUAUAUAAUCUCAGUCAACAGAGCUCGUCCCUCUGCCAGUGGAAUGAGGUUGUGGUAUUUAAACACUGCCCUGUAGAAAGGCAGUCAGAUUAGUGUGCUGACCAUGUAAUUAUAUGAGAAAUUAUGGCUAGAGUAUAAGGCUUAACUUGCAUUUUCUUUUAUUUUUUAUGCUUAGAUUUAACUUAUGCCUCCAUCGCUGUGUUAAUGAAUAAAAUCUUAGUGAUCAAAGUUAUUGCUACAUUUUAUUUUAUAUCCUGAAAAGUCAAUCAGAAGUCAACCAAUUCUCUGUGCUAGAUCUCAGAGGAGGGCCAACCAAUUCAAAUGAGGCACAGUGGGAAGUGGUACAAUUGUUUGUGGUGUUCCUGCCAUCUGACUCUGAAAAUCAUUGUCAAUGGAGGUUGAGAGAUAAGGAAUGGAAACAGGUUUGCAAUCCCCUCACAAAUAACUGUUAGCAUUCCCUUGGGGGUUGUGAUCAAUAGACUGAGAAUCACUUUAAAUCUAAGAAAUAAAUACGAUUCCAGUAGGAAGACUCACCCCAAGAACAGCUACUGCAAUCCAGCUGUUUCCGCAACUUCUAGAGCCUACCCUUGGUCUACAAGCACCUCCUCCAUCAUGCAUCAUAAGCACUGUCUUGCCAUGAAGUUGCAGCAGGAAAUAAAGCAACUGAGAAAGGACAUUGUAAUAUUCUGGGGAUAUGCCCUGGAUUCCUGACGGGACUUUGAGACAACCGCUUAAGAGACUGUCUGCCACAUACCACUAAAGAAUCCCUUCCCCAGUUUUGUAAUGAACCCAGUGCAAGUUUUAAUCAGUCCUGGGUAAAUGUACAUACAGGUUCCAGUUCAGGAAAGUAGCCUUAUUCAGGAAAGCACUUAAGAAUGUGCUUAAAGUUAGGCAUGUACUUAAAUGUUUUUCAGAAUAGAGAGUUAAGCACAGUCAUGUUUCCCUGAAAUGGGGCCAUAGUGCAGAUGCAAUUACUAAAACUUAUAUUAUGUACCUGAGUGUAUGAGCUCCCAGUCAUCUGGUACACAACAUGUAAAGGAGCAAUGGUUAGAGGGUUUUAGUUACAGCAUGGCUCUGUACAAAAGGACUUGCUUAACCUACCUUGCUUUUUGACUGUAAUUUCCCCAAGCUUAGCUGCUUCCUUUAACGGUUCUGAGUUCUGCCCCAAAAACUAUGACAACUUUUAGAUGCAAUAAAUCUAAACUGUUUUUCAAAACCUAUUGGUUCUCUAAAAGCUUUAUUCACUUAAAACACUUUAUUUGCUCCAUCUUGAUUGCAGAUCAGUGUAAUCUCACAUGAGUGACUAAUUUUUGUCUGACUUGCUCUAAAGGCUAGUGGGAGGGAAAUCUGUGGUUGACUUUUGCGCAAUUCACUGCUUUUAAGGUCAGAACCAGUCCUUCUGGUGCACCCACAGCUCCCCUAGACUUCAAUUUGAGCUUUGGAGACAGGGAAAUACAAGACUGAGUACUUGAUGAUAUCAUGAUUCUUUGUAAUAUGUUAUCAAUAUAUUUUUGCUCUGUAUAUAUUCAGUUAUAAAAACAAUACUUUGCUACUUAAAUAUGUAUUUAUAAUGUUCAGCACCUUUUCCUGAAGGAUCUCAAAGCACUUGACAAACAUUAAUUAACUAAGCCGUAUAAUACCCCUGUAAAAUGCUGUAGAGUAUUAUUAUCCCUUUUAAACAUGAGCAAACUGAGCACAGAGCUGCUAAAUGAUUCA